rnacentral:rRNA from 1 species
GUAGGGAAUUUUGCGCAAUGGGCGAAAGCCUGACGCAGCAACGCCGCGUGAGUGAUGAAGGUCUUCGGAUUGUAAAGCUCUGUUGAGUGGAAAGAAAAGUUUCGGAUCUAAUCAACCGGAAUCUGACGGUACCACUCGAGUAAGCCCCGGCUAACUACGUGCCAGCAGCCGCGGUAAUACGUAGGGGGCAAGCGUUGUUCGGAAUCACUGGGCGUAAAGGGAGCGUAGGCGGAUUUAUAAGUUAGAAGUUUAAAUCAUAGGCUUAACCUGUGUGUGGCUUCUAAUACUGUAAGUCUUGAGUAUGAAAGAGGGAGAUGGAAUUCCAGGUGUAGCGGUGGAAUGCGUAGAUAUCUGGAAGAACACCAGCAGCGAAGGCGGUCUCCUGGUUCAAUACUGACGCUGAGGCUCGAAAGUUAGGGGAGCAAACAGGAUUAGAAACCCCAGUAGUCC